UACGAAGGGGGCUAGCGUUGUUCGGAAUUACUGGGCGUAAAGGGCGCGUAGGCGGCUGUGCAAGUCAGGUGUGAAAGCCCUGGGCUCAACCCAGGAUGUGCACUUGAUACUGCGCGGCUAGAGUGUCGGAGAGGAUGGUGGAAUUCCCAGUGUAGAGGUGAAAUUCGUAGAUAUUGGGAAGAACACCAGUGGCGAAGGCGGCUCACUGGACCGGAACUGACGCUGAUGCGCGAAAGCGUGGGGAGCAAACGGG
rnacentral:rRNA from 1 species